CUACAGUGCUUUUCCUGCAUUUUUGGACAGCGACUUCUGUGCUUCACACCUGCCUAAUAACAUCUGGGUUUUUUUGGCUUCUCCAUUGUUCAGUUAAUAACAUCUUCAUCUGAACAGUGUAAGAGAGAGUCAGGGGUUCCUUAGGGAAGGCCCCCCUCGGGGUGGCCCGGCCUUGUGCCACCCCCUUUUUUUCCCCCUUAGGAGAAUCUUCUUUAAGAGAUUUCGACGAUGGAGAAAUCAUUGAGAAAUCCAUCUCUCAAGACGCUGUACUCCGUCCUGAAGAACUUCAGGGAGGAAUAUACAGACUUUGAGGCCCUUGCCUCUUAUUACGGUA